UUAGAGAGUUGAAGAUUUGUAGAAAAGGAAAGUAGCAGUUUCUUUUAUAACAGACAGUGGUUGACUUUUUACAUGGAGAAAGGGAAAGUGGCAGAGUUUUUGAUAUGAAAAAAGGAGAAUGAUAGAACUUACCUCGGGAAGAAAGAGAGAGUGACAGAUUUUUUAUAUGAAAAAGGAAAGUAGCAGAUUUAUUGAGGGGCUGGAAUUCUUUUUUUAUGGAAGAAAAAGAUGGCAGAAUUUUGGGGAGGGAGAAAGGAAAGUUUUCUUUUGAAAACUGAUAUAAGGAAGAAAAAAUGAGAGUAAUAGGAUUUUUAGCUGUGGGGGGAAAUUUUGGAUUCAAGAUGGGAGUUUUUUAAAAGCAAGAUGGGAAAAGAGCGCAGCAGGAUUUUUAUGGUUUUUGUUGGAAGAAGAAGAAGGGAGAUUUUCACUGGUUUUUUGAAGGAUUUUGGAAAGGAAGAUAGCUGGAAGCCAAGCGAUUGCAGUCAAAAUUGUCCAGAUAUGGAAGAACUUCUCUUGAUGAAGGCCGAGCAUGUGGGAGCAAGCAUUUAAUCAAAAUUUUGGAGUAGGCUAAAGAGGCUGCUUGCAAGGCACAUGGUUUUUGAAAGGUAAAAUAAGGCUUUUCUUCACCAUGCUGUUAUGGAUAACUAAUCAGUAAGAAGUUACUUCAGUUUUCGCCCCCUUAACUAUAUGUUUUCUAGUUACUAUAUCCUUCUUCUUCACAAUUUUUAGUUUGUCUUGCCUUUUCAAGGUGUACUAUUCCAAAUCCCUUUUCCUUCCAUCGCCUUUGAUAAAGCCACCGACAAUUAUCAGAAAUAAGUACAUCAUCACUUGGUAUGGAUAGGGGAGCAUUGGAGCGACGUGCACCUAGAGGCCAGUUUUUUUUUUUUUUUUCUCUAAUUGGGGGUUUAGUUGCUUGUCAGUAGCCUUAAAUCUAACUAGGAGUCUGAAUUUUUUUAUAAAGGUAAUUUAAUUAUUUUUGUUUCUUGUCAUGACUUAAGGAUGGUUAACUUGCUUAAGCCAUUUCUAUUUUAACAGAAAACAGGAGUCCUCGGAUUAAAACUAAAUAAAGGGCUGACAUUGCACCUUACCUGUGGCAUCCCAAAUAUCUCAUGGAGGGAUCAUUCAAACUUGUACAUGGUAGCCUUUAGACAAGUUGUGGAUGAAUCUUAGUUUGUGUCUACAGGUUUUGCUCUCCCUUUUCUUAGGGCUUGAAGUGUGGUUGAUCUAAGAAUAUUAUAGCUUCAUCUAGAUCUCUGAUUCUUCUUCUUUUCUACUUUUCAUGUUCUCAUAUGUGAAUAGCAAUAGCAUCAAGAGGACACUCAGGAACAUUUAGAUGUCAUGUAUAGAUCAAAUCAUUCUAAUUUGCAUUUCAUGUAAAAUGUCUCCAUUUUGUUAUAAAGAAUCUCCCCUUUUUUAGGAUUUCGUAAUAAUCUCUUAAAUUAUUACUCUCAGUUAUAUAGAUGGUUUCAUUUCCCAAAAUAAAUCCAUUAUAUAGGCUGGAUUUGGGCCUUCAAAUUUUGGGAAAAUAGAUCUUGGUUGAGCUUCCUUCCACCAUGGAAUAGUGAAUUCCCAAACAUAACACUCAUUCAAGCCAUCCAACAAGGGUGGGAUUUUGCUUCAAUGAUUAAUCUAAUCCCAGUUGGCUUGGGGAAAGCUCUAACCCCCCUGCCACAACAAUAUCUGAAAAUGCCACACCACUUCUCAUCUGCCUUGCAUAACCUUAAAACUAGCCAUCAAAGUUGAUCUAAAACAUGCAAAAGGAGGCAGUUGCCAUUCAACCACCCUUGGCUCAUCCAAUCUUACAUAAUUAGACUCAUCGGUUUGCCAAGAAAUUCUUUACAAACUUGCCACCCAGGAAGAAGUGAGAUAGCAAUCAUUGUCAUAGUUGUAAACCUUCACUUAUUCUAAAACAUCAUUGGAGUUUCUUUGUAUCUUAAUCAUGCGAAGUUAAGCAUAAUCCCUUAUAAAGCUCUCUACUUUUGGAAUUUCUUCCAAAACCUUCAUCAGCAACAUUCGUCACAUGUGAAACAAUUCCUAUGGGGAACCAAAGUGAUACCAGCCAAGACCAAAUAACUUGUUCCACAGCUCCCAUAGCAGCUAGAUGGUGAAAGAUAAAGACACAUGUUUUACCAUUUCCCAGGAAAAUAGCAAAAUCCAUAGGGCCAAGGGCUUUGAAAGAAGUCCUUGACUUCAAUGUCAUUAAUUUUGAACUUUCAUUGGCCACUAGCCACAUGAAUGCUCUUGCUUUAGAUGGAGAUUUAGACUACCAAAUAGAAUUAGCCAGAAGGAAAAUAUGUGAAGAACUAUCACUGGACAGGAAACCGAAGAAAGAUAUCAAGGAGAACCGGCAUGAAUAGAGUCAAGGACUAAAUCCUCUCACCAAUAAAAGAUUAUAAAUAAUAACAGGUAGUAAAAAAAGCUAUAAGAGGCAAGGGACUAGUCACUUCUGGUAUGUUAAGGUAUGCCAGAAGUUGAGUUUUGAGAACUGAGAAGAUGAAGAGUGGUAAAGAACAACAGAGGAGGAUAUCUAGAUCUUGAAACAAGAUAGAUAUUAGUAAGGCUACCAUAUAACGGAUCCUUCUUGAAAUAUUUUUCUGAAUCAUUUCCAACCAAAUGUCGAAUACAACAAGAAAAUCAAGGAAGCCUUAGAAAAUAGCUUACCACAGUCUGUGGUGCAACCAUAUAACCAUCAUUUGGAAUGUAAACCAUAAAUACUUCAAUCCACAAUGAUUGUCUCUAGUACUUCAGGGAGAUUCCUCUAAUUAGGCAUAAAGUUGUUUCAUUAUGGUUUAAAUCAUGUAAGUCAAGCACUCAAGCUACGGUUAAUUUAAUAAAGGCCUUUUUACUUAACUUGAUGAGGAGAACGUUGUGAUUAUUCCUAGGACAAAUUUCUUGAUGACUGUAUCUUGUUCCAGUCAUUUAUAAGUUUAAAACAUGCUAACCACUGAUGCAUCCAACCCUCUUCUAGGCAUACCCCAUUAAUAAGAAUUUGAAGUCUGAGAGAAGGGUUCUAACAGGUUUUGAAAAACAGUAGUCUUAGGUUUUUGGUUAUCUAAUUGUAUGCUUCUCUUCAACCUAAAUGAGAGUUGUCAUUUUACCAAUUUGCUCCAAGCUUCUCAGUUUUUCAUAAUUGGUUUAAGAAACUCCAUGUACUUGGGUUGCAUUACUCAAAUCUUGGGGUAUCCUAUUUAGCUUUCAAUUUAUAGGAACUUGGGACAUGUUAUGAGUAUUUAUACAAAUCUUGGAGUUUAUUGAUAAUAUGUUCUGGGCUUUGGUGGUUUGAACUUCUGCUGUUCUUUUUUAUGUUGCUCUGUAAGCCAACAUUCAAACUUGUCCCUUCUCUAUUCUUUUUUAUGUUGCUCUGUGGGUUCACUUGGUUGGGUCCUCUUUUAUGGGCAUUAGCCAAGCUACAAAAGAUUGGAAAUGGGGCAGAAGAAAACAAGUUAUUUCUUCUGUUUUUUUCCUUACAUGUAUAGUUUUUAAGAGGACUUGAAUACAGCAGUGGCUAAAGAAUCAGCCACCUGUGAAUGUGUUUGUAGCAGCAUUGUUGUCAGGAUAUUGGACCUGACAACAUAAUACUUUUAUAAAAGUGGACUGGGUCUCACAUGUACUGAUUGUAACAGUUCUAUAUAUUUGUUCACUCAUGGAUCUUCAGUGUGCAUGGCCAAAUUAUAAUACAGAAAAUUUGACAUCAAGCCUCAUGGAUAAUUGGUUUAAGCUGAUAAAGAUAUUACCUUUUCUUCCCCUUCUAUUUUUGUAAAUGCUUAAUUUCAUGUAUACAUGGGUUUAAAUUUUACUUCAUGGUAGUCUUUUAGUUCUUCAAAUUGCAGGAUAUUUAAUGUCUUAACUUGAGAGUUAGAACUGAUCGGUCUAAACUUUUACAAAAUUGGAGCCAUAAAGUUCUUUUCUUAAUAUUAUCUGGACUCCCAAUUCAACUAAAACUGGACUUUGAGGGAGUUUACUAGAAUCCUUGGAAUUAGUGUUGCAAAAGUGUGUUUGGAUCCAAGGCCUUAGCUUUUACAGCCAAGGAGAUGCCAAGUGGGGUUGAACAUGGCUGGAGCAACACAGUGACAGCCAUUUCCCUUGAUCAGUCCACAAAAUGUUGGCACCAACAAUCACUAGGCUAAGAAUUCUAUCAAUGCAACUCUGAAUACGGAUUGGCAACACAAAUACUUGAUUACCUAUGCUACAUAUAAGGAGAUAGAGCUAUUUCCUAAGCAAAGUCAGGCUGCAAGUGCCAGUAUUUAUUUAGAAAAGGUAACUCUUUAAUUUCCAUUGCUACAUAAAUCCUCAAGCUGAUUUACUUUCUGCUAUUGAUCACUGGAAGAUCUCAGACUCAUAAUUGAUGACCUAUUCCCUUUGGGUACUUUGGCCUCUGAUUAAGAUAUGCCUUUGGUCAUGAGUGAGAACAGAGAAAAUCCUUGUCUUUUAAGUAAUGAACAAUGCACAACUGCAAUUCUAACCUGUCAAAUAAGCAUUGUUGGGUUUUGAAAAUCAGAUUGGUUUUGUACACUACCAUAGUUAAAGGUUGUUCAAACCAACCUGGUUUGUAAAAGU